AGUCUUCUCCUAGUGGCCUUCAGAUGAAGAUGUAGAACUCUCAGCUCCUCCUGCACCAUGUUCCUGCCUUGAUGAUAAUGGACUGAACCUCUGAACCUCUUCAGGACUACGGCUGUGCAGUGACAGGCUGAGGCCACCAUCUUGUCAUUAGAAGAGAUGGUGGAGUUGGAAGAGAAAGGGCUGAAUUUCCACUCCUGCAUGCACAGGGUUUCUCUGUAUAGCCCUGGCUGUCCUGGAACUCACUUUGUAGACCAGACUGGCCUUGAACUCAGAAGGCUUAAGACAUAUGCUUCUAACAAACUGGAAAAAAAAAAAAAUCCACAUGCCGGGAAGGGAGCUCAUUGCAC
rnacentral:lncRNA from 1 species